UACGGGGGGGGCAAGCGUUGUUCGGAAUUACUGGGCGUAAAGGGCUCGUAGGCGGCCAACUAAGUCAGACGUGAAAUCCCUCGGCUUAACCGGGGAACUGCAUCUGAUACUGGAUGGCUUGAGAUUGGGAGAGGGAUGCGGAAUUCCAGGUGUAGCGGUGAAAUGCGCAGAUAUCAGGAGGAACACCGGUGGCGAAGGCGGGUCUCUGGGCCGAUACUGACGCUGAGGAGCGAAAGCGUGGGGAGCGAACAGG
rnacentral:rRNA from 1 species